UACGUAGGGGGCAAGCGUUGUCCGGAAUCAUUGGGCGUAAAGAGCGUGUAGGCGGCCAGAUAAGUCCGCUGUGAAAUCUCGAGGCUCAACUUCGAGCUGUCGGUGGAAACUGUCUGGCUAGAGUCCGGAAGAGGAGAAUGGAAUUCCUGGUGUAGCGGUGAAAUGCGCAGAUAUCAGGAAGAACACCCGUGGCGAAGGCGGUUCUCUGGGACGGUACUGACGCUGAGACGCGAAAGCCAGGGGAGCGAACGGG
rnacentral:rRNA from 1 species